GUAAUAUUUACAUUUUCUGACGCUGACUGCAAUUACAAAGGUUUAAUGGUGUCCUAAUGGUGGGCAAGCCCACCAAGGAAACAAAUAGUACGCAAAAACAUGGGUGAAUAUUCAGACAAACUGGGCAGAAACACGCCUACCAAAGUCAUUUCAUCGCCGCAAGCAGCGAGUCCAUGAGAGGCAAAGCAAGUAUUUCUGGAGCUCCCAGCCUGCAUUCAUAUAAGUAAUGAUCCUUCCGCAGGUUCACCUACGGAAA
rnacentral:misc_RNA from 1 species